rnacentral:rRNA from 1 species
UUCCGGUUGAUUCUGCCGGACCCGACUGCUAUCAGAGUGGGACUAAGCCAUGCGAGUCAACAUAGCAAUAUGUGGCAUACGGCUCAGUAACACGUAGUCAACAUGCCCAGGGGACGUGGAUAACCUCGGGAAACUGAGGAUAAACCGCGAUAGGUCAUCACUUCUGGAAUGGGUAAUGACUUAAAUCUAUAUGGCCCCUGGAUUGGACUGCGGCCGAUCAGGCUGUUGGUGAGGUAAUGGCCCACCAAACCUGUAACCGGUACGGGCUCUGAGAGGAGGAGCCCGGAGAUGGGCACUGAGACAAGGGCCCAGGCCCUAUGGGGCGCAGCAGGCGCGAAACCUCUGCAAUAGGCGAAAGCUUGACAGGGUUACUCUGAGUGAUUUCCGUUAAGGAGAUCUUUUGGCACCUCUAAAAAUGGUGCAGAAUAAGGGGUGGGCAAGUCUGGUGUCAGCCGCCGCGGUAAUACCAGCACCCCGAGUGGUCGGGACGUUUAUUGGGCCUAAAGCAUCCGUAGCCGGUUCUACAAGUCUUCCGUUAAAUCCACCUGCUUAACAGAUGGGCUGCGGAAGAUACUAUAGAGCUAGGAGGCGGGAGAGGCAAGCGGUACUCGAUGGGUAGGGGUAAAAUCCGUUGAUCCAUUGAAGACCACCAGUGGCGAAGGCGGCUUGCCAGAACGCGCUCGACGGUGAGGGAUGAAAGCUGGGGGAGCAAACCGGAUUAGAUACCCGGGUAGUCCCAGCUGUAAACGAUGCAGACUCGGUGAUGAGUUGGCUUAUUGCUAACUCAGUGCCGCAGGGAAGCCGUUAAGUUUGCCGCCUGGGGAGUACGGUCGCAAGACUGAAACUUAAAGGGAUUGGCGGGGGAGCA